rnacentral:rRNA from 1 species
UACCCGCUCCCCGAGUGGUGGGGACGCUUAUUGGGCCUAAAGCAUCCGUAGCCGGCUGGGUAAGUCCCCUGUUAAAUCUAGCGAUUUAAUCGCUGGACUGCGGGGGAUACUGCCCAGCUAGGGGGCGGGAGAGGCCGGCGGUAUUCCCGGGGUAGGGGUGAAAUCCUAUAAUCCCGGGAGGACCACCAGUGGCGAAGGCUGCCGGCUGGAACGCGCCCGACGGUGAGGGAUGAAAGCUGGGGGAGCGAACCGG